rnacentral:antisense_RNA from 1 species
AAUAACUGAAAAUAACACUUGGGCUAAGGGUUAAGUUAGUAAUUUUUCUUACAUCCCCCCCCCCCUCCUUCCUCUGGAGACCAGGUAUCAUAUACGCCCCUAAAAUAAAGAGCCUUGAAUACUAGAAGAAAAGCACCUAUACCUACCAAGAUUAAGUGAAUACCUAAAAUUGUUGUCAUUUUAUUUCUAUAUUUCCA